rnacentral:lncRNA from 1 species
AGCGCAAGAAAAAAAAAAAAAGAGGUGUGCGACAUGAAUAUAUAGCUUGUUCACUUUUUUUAUUUGUUUACUCCACGUGUAAAGACAUUUUCUUACGCGUCAAGUUGAAAAUUCGUGAAAGAACAUUCCGCCACCAAGCGGCGAUAUGACGUCAUCGCAAGACCAGCUAUGGCGCUUAUAGAAGCCGGGCCGCUCUCAUGCGUGUUUCGGUGGCAUCUGUUUUUGCUUAUUCACACAAAAAAGUCGUGGUAUUGAGCGAUAUUUUGUGUGACAGCGGCGCUUUUCAGCACGGCAAUACGCUGUGGACUGCUACAGAUGUCGACAGCAAGUGUCCGUUCUGAGCAGCUUCCCGGAAGCAUCCCUGUCCACUGUAGGAAAAGUCGUGAAAAGGUGGCUCAUUGGCGCGAGCGACGGAGACGGCGGUCGUAACAGGAGGCGACAGAAACGGAAGACGACAUCAGUGUAGAGUCACCUUGACACCACGCAUGGCACCUCGACCGAAGGACAUUUGUUUUGAGUAAUGUUAAAAAAUUAAUUGUGAUCUCUAAAAU